AGGAUGAAAAUUAAUCAAGGGCUAGGAUAGCAUCAUCUAAAGCAUUUGUUUAAGUUCGAGGCGUUGGAGAGAUAUCAUAAUGGUUAAGUUAAGGAUAAUUUUGUCUUUUCAAUAUUUGUUUCUUUUCUGUUAGUUAUAUAUAUGUUUGUAAGAGAGGACUGAAUGGAUAAGAAAAACUCUGAUGAAUGUUCUAGUUCUUUUAUGCUUACUGUUUGUGUUUUCUCUGAGUGUGUUUUCUCAACUUGUAUCAGAUUGAUUACUGAACUUUCUGGUUUUAGCAUUCUCUGUGUUUCAACACCUAGCAGCAUAUGUCAUAUCCAAAUCUUAUGCAAAGCGUAGGAUACAUCAAACUUCAGACUGCUAAUGUGCAUUAAGCAUACUACACUUCUUUCUUUUCAUUCUCAUUUGAGUUGUUUUGUUUUGAUUAAAAAUUACUUCCAAAUAGAGCAUUCACUAGUUUUCAUUAUUUAUAUUGAAGGGAUGAAGUGCUUUCACAAUAUAUUUCCUUUAAUAACCAUAGCUCCGUAGCUCUCUUUUCAUUCCUUAUAGACACACAUUAUCUUGCUAUGCAAAUCCUAAGUCCUUCAUAGCAAGAUCUACUAGAAACAUUCUCUAUUUUAGCAAUCUCGAUAGUGUCCUACUUGACAAUCAACAUGUCAUCCACAUAAAGCAACAUCAUAUCUCUUGAUGAACAUAUAAUGGUCCGAAGAUGGUUACAUAUACCCAUAACACUCCACUAGUUAGUUUAACUUCUUGUACUAUUGCCUUGUAGCUUGUUUAAGGCCAUACAAACUCUUCCUUAACUUGCAAACAUAUGUUCAAUACUCUUGACUUUAAACCCUUUUAAUUACUCUUUCUAGAUUGUUUCUUCAAUGUCAUAAUGUAGAAAUGCAAUCUUAUGUCAAAAGCUCAGCCUCCAAGUCCAAUGAGAUCCCAAAUAAGAUCUUCAAGUACUAGUACUCCCAAAUGAGAUCUGAUAUUGUUUACCUUGCAAACAAUCACAAGGACUAAGUAAUGAACCUUUCAUCUUAGGAAGCAAAUUCUUCUUUCAAACUUCCAACCCUUUCGCACUCAUGGCCAAGCAGUCAGUGCCACAAGUCAAUAGUAGAAUCCUAUCUCCUCUUAUCUCUUUAUCCUUGUCUCCCAAAAUUUAACUUCUAUGCUCAAUUUUGCUCUUCAUCAUAGUAUGAUUUCUGGUUAUAAUCAUCUUCUCAAGUAUACAUAAUUUGAAUCAUCUCAUGUUCGCUGGUGAUCUUGUGCUCAUUUCUCAAGCCUCUAGGAAAACUUCUAGAUACAUUAAUCUUUGCCAUGCUAUUUAUGGGAACAUUACUGGGCAAGUCUCAAAUGCUUCUAAAUCAGCUAUUUACCUUCCUUGUUGGUUUAAUAAGAAAUUUGCUAAGAGUAUCUGUUCCAUCCUUAAGUUCCCGGCUGCCUCUUUCCCUCUUAACUAUCUUGGAGUCUUAAUUUCCCUAAGAGAUUGGCUAAGGCUGUUUUUGAUUCCAUGACUGUGAAAAUCAGCCAUCGUUACUCUAGAUGGAAACACUCCAACUUUUCUUCUGCAGCUCUUAUUAACUCUUCUCUGUUAUCUAUUCCUACUUAUUAUUUAUUUGUCUAUCCUAUCUAUGAUUCUGUUCUCCAUGAAAUCAAUAGAAUUGUUAGGAGAUUCUUUUGGGUGUAAAAGUGGCAAUGGAAAUAGCAUCCAUGUUGUUGCUUGGGAUGAUCUUAUUGUUUCUAAAUCUGAAGGGGGUCUUGCAAUCAGAAACCUUCUUCUUGAUAAGCAUUCUCUUAUGGCCAAAAAUAUUUUUAAAUACAUUAACUGUGAUGACUAUAUUUGGGUUGAUAUUUUAUAUGUUAAGUAUGGUGUGCUUAACUUCUGGAGGGAUUCUAUUCCUACUAGUUGCUCUUGGUUCUUCAGGGGCUUGUGUCACUCUAUUUUUAAAUUAAAACACUUUUUGAGGAUUAAUACUGUGAACCCAAAUCAAACUUCUUUUUUUGUAUCACCCUUGGUGCUCUGAGAUUCCACUUGCGCUAAAUCCCACUUUUCUUAAUAUAAGUUUGGACUUAGAGUCGCUUAAUAUUCUUGAACUCAUUCUCAAUUGCACUUGGGAUUUACAUAAAUUUGGUUUGUUGUUUGGUAAUAACUUGGAUUGCUUCAUUCCUAGACUUGGAAACAUUGAUCCUACUGUUUCUAAUCAUUGGAUUUGGUUCCCUAAGUCUCAUAAUUGCAGGCUUGAUGUCACAGUUUAUCAAUAUUUGAAUCAGAAUCCUUGUUGGUCUGAUAAUUGAAUGGGUUGGAAAAAAUUUGGGAUUUAAAGGUGGCCCCUCAGGUUAAACAUUUUAUGUGGCUCACAUUUAAAGGGAGAAUUGCUACAUCUGAUUAUCUUUAUUCGAUCAAUUUGGGUCCUCGAUGUUUUUGUGCCUUGUGUGGUCUUGAGCCUGAAUCGAUUAAACAAUAGUUGGCCUCUUGUUGUAAAGCCUAAGCAGUUUGGAAUCAGAUUAGCCUUAAGAUUGGUAUCCCUCUUACUUUUCAAGAUGGUUUCAGUUCUAGCAAUUGGCUCAUCACUGGCAGCUUUUCGCUUUACAUUAAAUCUACUAUUGUUGCAACAGCUUGGUUUAUUUGGAAGAAUCGAUGUGAUAAAAUUUGCAAGAAUAUCAAUGCUACUUGCCAAGUUAUAGCUUGCAGGACUUUGGCUCAUGUUUUGGAAUUCUCUUGUGUCCCUGCGGAGCAAUUUGGCAAGGGAUUAAUACUUACCAAUUUCUCCUCUGCUAAUGGCCCAUUCUUUUUCAUCUCUAGCUUCUAGAAUGCUACAACUGAGGUAGGUGGAGCAUGUUUCUCUUGUUCUAGCUCUAAUUAUUCAAUUUCCAUGGCAGGUUCCUGCCCUGCACACGCGGAGACUGAUGCUGAAUCCUGAUAUUUGCUGAAUCAUAUCAGAAUCCUUACUUUGAAUCAUCCAUCGAGUAGCAAACGUUUAAACUCCUGGAUCCCAAGUAUCAACCAACUAUUCACCAUGGCGGGCUGUCCUGCAAUGCAUAUUAUUCCUAAGACUUGGGCCUCUCCUACUUUCAAGUUAGUUCUUCAUAUUGUUAACCUUCAUGUCCUUACCUUGUUCUUUUAAGAUCGUGAUCUUCCUCAUUGGAUUAUGAAGUGUUUUAUGAAUUCUGGAUUUGUUUUUUUAAGGAUCUUCUUUUCUUUUUGGUUUUA